rnacentral:rRNA from 1 species
AUUGAACGCUGGCGGCAUGCCUUACACAUGCAAGUCGAACGGCAGCACGGGAGCAAUCCUGGUGGCGAGUGGCGAACGGGUGAGUAAAGUAUCGGAACGUGCCCAGUCGUGGGGGAUAACGUAGCGAAAGUUACGCUAAUACCGCAUACGAUCUAUGGAUGAAAGCGGGGGAUCGCAAGACCUCGCGCGAUUGGAGCGGCCGAUAUCAGAUUAGGUAGUUGGGGGGGUAAAGGCCCACCAAGCCGACGAUCUGUAGCUGGUCUGAGAGGACGACCAGCCACACUGGGACUGAGACACGGCCCAGACUCCUACGGGAGGCAGCAGUGGGGAAUUUUGGACAAUGGGCGAAAGCCUGAUCCAGCCAUGCCGCGUGCAGGAUGAAGGCCUUCGGGUUGUAAACUGCUUUUGUACGGAACGAAAAGGACUGCCCUAAUACGGUGGUCCCAUGACGGUACCGUAAGAAUAAGCACCGGCUAACUACGUGCCAGCCGCCGCCGUAAAAC